UACGUAGGGUGCGAGCGUUGUCCGGAAUUAUUGGGCGUAAAGGGCUCGUAGGCGGUUUGUCGCGUCGGGAGUGAAAACUCAGGGCUUAACCCUGAGCCUGCUUCCGAUACGGGCAGACUAGAGGUAUGCAGGGGGAGAACGGAAGUUCCUGGUGUAGCGGUGAAAUGCGCAGAUAUCAGGAGGAACACCGGUGGCGAAGGCGGUUCUCUGGGACGGUACUGACGCUGAGACGCGAAAGCGUGGGGAGCGAACAGG
rnacentral:rRNA from 1 species